UUUUUCUGGCGCGGGGCGUCUGAUGAUGAAGCUGCAUAGGGCAGAUUCUGAGCUGAGAGGCACAGCCUUCCAGCGCUGAUCCUGUUUAUGCUGCCUGAAGAUGCUUUCCCAUUU